rnacentral:rRNA from 1 species
GGGUUGUGAGGUUAAGCGACUAAGCGUACACGGUGGAUGCCCUGGCAGUCAGAGGCGAUGAAGGACGUGCUAAUCUGCGAUAAGCGUCGGUAAGGUGAUAUGAACCGUUAUAACCGGCGAUUUCCGAAUGGGGAAACCCAGUGUGUUUCGACACACUAUCAUUAACUGAAUCCAUAGGUUAAUGAGGCGAACCGGGGGAACUGAAACAUCUAAGUACCCCGAGGAAAAGAAAUCAACCGAGAUUCCCCCAGUAGCGGCGAGCGAACGGGGAGCAGCCCAGAGCCUGAAUCAGUGUGUGUGUUAGUGGAAGCGUCUGGAAAGGCGCGCGAUACAGGGUGACAGCCCCGUACACAAAAAUGCACAUGCUGUGAGCUCGAUGAGUAGGGCGGGACACGUGGUAUCCUGUCUGAAUAUGGGGGGACCAUCCUCCAAGGCUAAAUACUCCUGACUGACCGAUAGUGAACCAGUACCGUGAGGGAAAGGCGAAAAGAACCCCGGCGAGGGGAGUGAAAAAGAACCUGAAACCGUGUACGUACAAGCAGUGGGAGCACGCUUAGGCGUGUGACUGCGUACCUUUUGUAUAAUGGGUCAGCGACUUAUAUUCUGUAGCAAGGUUAACCGAAUAGGGGAGCCGAAGGGAAACCGAGUCUUAACUGGGCGUUAAGUUGCAGGGUAUAGACCCGAAACCCGGUGAUCUAUCCAUGGGCAGGUUGAAGGUUGGGUAACACUAACUGGAGGACCGAACCGACUAAUGUUGAAAAAUUAGCGGAUGACUUGUGGCUGGGGGUGAAAGGCCAAUCAAACCGGGAGAUAGCUGGUUCUCCCGAAAGCUAUUUAGGUAGCGCCUCGUGAAUUCAUCUCCGGGGUAGAGCACUGUUUCGGCAAGGGGGUCAUCCCGACUUACCAACCCGAUGCAAACUGCGAAUACCGGAGAAUGUUAUCACGGGAGACACACGGCGGGUGCUAACGUCCGUCGUGAAGAGGGAAACAACCCAGACCGCCAGCUAAGGUCCCAAAGUCAUGGUUAAGUGGGAAACGAUGUGGGAAGGCCCAGACAGCCAGGAUGUUGGCUUAGAAGCAGCCAUCAUUUAAAGAAAGCGUAAUAGCUCACUGGUCGAGUCGGCCUGCGCGGAAGAUGUAACGGGGCUAAACCAUGCACCGAAGCUGCGGCAGCGACGCUGAUGCGUUGUUGGGUAGGGGAGCGUUCUGUAAGCCUGCGAAGGUGUGCUGUGAGGCAUGCUGGAGGUAUCAGAAGUGCGAAUGCUGACAUAAGUAACGAUAAAGCGGGUGAAAAGCCCGCUCGCCGGAAGACCAAGGGUUCCUGUCCAACGUUAAUCGGGGCAGGGUGAGUCGACCCCUAAGGCGAGGCCGAAAGGCGUAGUCGAUGGAAACAGGUUAAUAUUCCUGUACUUGGUGUUACUGCGAAGGGGGACGGAGAAGGCUAUGUUGGCCGGGCGACGGUUGUCCCGGUUUAAGCGUGUAGGCUGGUUUUCCAGGCAAAUCCGGAAAAUCAAGGCUGAGGCGUGAUGACGAGGCACUACGGUGCUGAAGCAACAAAUGCCCUGCUUCCAGGAAAAGCCUCUAAGCAUCAGGUAACAUCAAAUCGUACCCCAAACCGACACAGGUGGUCAGGUAGAGAAUACCAAGGCGCUUGAGAGAACUCGGGUGAAGGAACUAGGCAAAAUGGUGCCGUAACUUCGGGAGAAGGCACGCUGAUAUGUAGGUGAGGUCCCUCGCGGAUGGAGCUGAAAUCAGUCGAAGAUACCAGCUGGCUGCAACUGUUUAUUAAAAACACAGCACUGUGCAAACACGAAAGUGGACGUAUACGGUGUGACGCCUGCCCGGUGCCGGAAGGUUAAUUGAUGGGGUUAGCGCAAGCGAAGCUCUUGAUCGAAGCCCCGGUAAACGGCGGCCGUAACUAUAACGGUCCUAAGGUAGCGAAAUUCCUUGUCGGGUAAGUUCCGACCUGCACGAAUGGCGUAAUGAUGGCCAGGCUGUCUCCACCCGAGACUCAGUGAAAUUGAACUCGCUGUGAAGAUGCAGUGUACCCGCGGCAAGACGGAAAGACCCCGUGAACCUUUACUAUAGCUUGACACUGAACAUUGAGCCUUGAUGUGUAGGAUAGGUGGGAGGCUUAGAAGUGUGGACGCCAGUCUGCAUGGAGCCGACCUUGAAAUACCACCCUUUAAUGUUUGAUGUUCUAACGUUGACCCGUAAUCCGGGUUGCGGACAGUGUCUGGUGGGUAGUUUGACUGGGGCGGUCUCCUCCUAAAGAGUAACGGAGGAGCACGAAGGUUGGCUAAUCCUGGUCGGACAUCAGGAGGUUAGUGCAAUGGCAUAAGCCAGCUUGACUGCGAGCGUGACGGCGCGAGCAGGUGCGAAAGCAGGUCAUAGUGAUCCGGUGGUUCUGAAUGGAAGGGCCAUCGCUCAACGGAUAAAAGGUACUCCGGGGAUAACAGGCUGAUACCGCCCAAGAGUUCAUAUCGACGGCGGUGUUUGGCACCUCGAUGUCGGCUCAUCACAUCCUGGGGCUGAAGUAGGUCCCAAGGGUAUGGCUGUUCGCCAUUUAAAGUGGUACGCGAGCUGGGUUUAGAACGUCGUGAGACAGUUCGGUCCCUAUCUGCCGUGGGCGCUGGAGAACUGAGGGGGGCUGCUCCUAGUACGAGAGGACCGGAGUGGACGCAUCACUGGUGUUCGGGUUGUCAUGCCAAUGGCACUGCCCGGUAGCUAAAUGCGGAAGAGAUAAGUGCUGAAAGCAUCUAAGCACGAAACUUGCCCCGAGAUGAGUUCUCCCUGACCCUUUAAGGGUCCUGAAGGAACGUUGAAGACGACGACGUUGAUAGGCCGGGUGUGUAAGCGCAGCGAUGCGUUGAGCUAACCGGUACUAAUGAACCGUGAGGCUUAACCUUACAACGCCGAAGCUGUU